GGGGGUAUAGCUAAGUUGUAAAGCACAAACUUAGUAUGUGGGAGACCCUGGGUUCAAGCCCCAGCAUUUCUC
rnacentral:tRNA from 1 species